AACGAACGCUGGCGGCAGGCUUAACACAUGCAAGUCGAACGCCCCGCAAGGGGCGUGGCAGACGGGUGAGUAACGCGUGGGAAUCUACCCAGUUCUACGGAACAACACAGGGAAACUUGUGCUAAUACCGUAUACGCCCUACGGGGGAAAGAUUUAUCGGAAUUGGAUGAGCCCGCGUUGGAUUAGCUAGUUGGUUGGGUAAUGGCCUACCAAGGCGACGAUCCAUAGCUGGUCUGAGAGGAUGAUCAGCCACACUGGGACUGGGACACGGCCCAGACUCCUACGGGAGGCAGCAGUGGGGAAUAUUGGACAAUGGGCGCAAGCCUGAUCCGGCCAUGCCGCGUGAGUGAUGAAGGCCUUAGGGUUGUAAAGCUCUUUCAGUGGGGACGAUAAUGACGGUACCCACAGAAGAAGCCCCGGCUAACUUCGUGCCAGCCGCCGCAGUAACAC
rnacentral:rRNA from 1 species